rnacentral:rRNA from 1 species
CAAUAGCGUAUAUUAAAGUUGUUGCAGUUAAAACGCUCGUAGUCGGAUUUCGGGGCGGGUCUGCCGGUUUGCCGAUGGGUAUAUACUGGUGGGUGCGUCCUUCCUUCCGGAGACCGCGCCUCCUCUUAACUGAGCGGGUGUGGGAGACGGAUCGUUUACUUUGAAAAAAUCAGAGUGUUUCAAGCAGGCAUGUCGCUCUUGCAUGGAUUAGCAUGGAAUAAUGGAAUAGGACUUUGGUUCUAUUUUGUUGGUUUCUUGAACCGAAGUAAUGAUUAAGAGGGACAGUUGGGGGCAUUCGUAUUUCGUUGUCAGAGGUGAAAUUCUUGGAUUUACGAAAGACGAACAACUGCGAAAGCAUUUGCCAAGAAUGUUUCAUUAAUCAAGAACGAAAGUUAGAGGCUCGAAGACGAU